CGUAGGUGGCAAGCGUUGUCCGGAUUUAUUGGGUUUAAAGGGUGCGUAGGCGGCCUUAUAAGUCAGUGCUGAAAUACUCUAGCUUAACUAGAGGGGUGGCAUUGAUACUGCAAGGCUUGAGUAUAGUCGAGGUAGGCGGAAUUGACGGUGUAGCGGUGAAAUGCUUAGAUAUCGUCAAGAACACCGAUAGUGUAGACAGCUUACUAGGCUAUAACUGACGCUGAGGCACGAAAGUGUGGGGAUCAAACAGGAUUAGAUACCCUGGUAGUCCACACUGUAAACGUUGAUUACUCGCUGUUGGCGAUACACAGUCAGCGGCUUAGCGCAAGCGAUAAGUAAUCCACCUGGGGAUACGCCGGCAACGGUG
rnacentral:rRNA from 1 species